UCCCAGUCUAGCAUUGGAAACACUUCUAGG
rnacentral:piRNA from 1 species